CACGCCGUAAACGAUGGAUACUAGCUGUUGGGGGCAACUUCAGUGGCUAAGCGAAAGUGAUAAGUAUCCCACCUGGGGAGUACGAACGCAAGUUUGAAACUCAAAGGAAUUGACGGGGGCCCGCACAAGCGGUGGAGCAUGUGGUUUAAUCCGAUGAUACGCGAGGAACCUUACCAAGGCUUAAAUGUAGAUUGACAGGACAGGAAACUGUUUUUUCUUCGGACAAUUUACAAGGUGCUGCAUGGUUGUCGUCAGCUCGUGCCGUGAGGUGUCAGGUUAAGUCCUAUAACGAGCGCAACCCCUGUUGUUAGUUGCCAGCGAGUCAUGUCGGGAACUCUAACGAGACUGCCAGUGCAAACUGU
rnacentral:rRNA from 1 species